GACUGUUCUCUCCCUUGUACGUCGCUUUGGACAAAAGCAUCUGCUAAAUGACUAAAUGUAAAUGUAAAUGUAAUUAUGUAUGACCCAUGCCAGAGGAUCAAUUAAAUGGAAAUUGUAACAACACGUGAACACAGAGGCCAUGACCCAUGAAUGCGUUUUGUUUAUCGAUGUCUAAUUGUAGGGCUGGGAGGGGACGACAUGAAUCCCAAGGGCUUUUAAUAGUUUCAGAAAAUCAAAGUUAGAACUAAUCAAACGGUUUAGUAUCAGAUAUUCGGUUAAUCUUCAGCUUGAAAUAAAUUUGCAAGGAGUGACACAGCUACAGAGCCCGAAUUUAUGGUCUGUCAACACUGUCUGCAUUCCACACACCCAAAGCACUUUCAGUCAAUAGUAAACAAACAGAGAGUGUCUGCGCUCAAUCUAUUAGACAUUUCAUCAAAUAUUAUAGCAUUGUGGAUAAACCAUAUGUUUGCUGGCAAAGCAUAAUUUGGAGCUCAAACAAAGGAUGAUGUGAUGGAUGGAGAAAGAGGUUGCAAAUGGAAAGAUGUGUCUGCAACCGCUAAUUUGAUAAUUAUUGAAUCAUUAUCCACCUCGUCUCCCAGUUAAUUGACUAAACAUGCUUUUGGAUAUUAUGACAGGCUGACAGAGAAAAUGGUUUGGGCACCGAUUAUCUGUAUAUGUGGAUAUCUGUAGCCUAUUAUCUGUCGCCCUUCUGUUAAGACACAUUUAGACUGUCAGGGCUGACAGUUAGACACUGGAGCACUCAGUCAUAGUCUUCAUAGUCUUGAAUAACUUUGUUUUUAUCUGUUUUUAAACUUUCUUUAUUUCCCAGGCCACCCUUGCAGGGGGUUCAUUGACAAGGAUGCCUCUACCUGCAUCUUAUUUGCCUCCAUUUACCUCCAUAAUGCUAUCCUAAACCAUAACGCUUUCUAACUAGCAGAUAUUCAUCAGCAUUUACAUUUUUAACAUGUGCAACAAGUAUUUCAUCUGUCUGUCAAUAUGCUCUUUGCAUAAAUCGCUCCCAGCCAUCUCUGCUAUUCUGUCGCAGAAGCGAGGCAGAUGGGAUUCGCUCUUCCCUCGUCUAUCUACGCCACCUCUUUAUACUUCUGCUUUGGCUCUGAGGACACAGCCAUUCAAUUGCAACGGCAUUCGCCGAAUUCACACAGGAACGUGCACAAGAGGUUGACGGACAGGAAGAGAUCUCCGCUGCCCCUUCAGAAACACGCCAUGAGUGCGUCCUCAUAACAGCCCCUCAUGCAUAAUAACAAACUGUCUUCCACAAGUGUCACAGGCACGUUAAUGUGCUCACGAGCCCUGGGAAGGUACAUUUGAGGACAUGUAACCUCUUGUAUUGAGUUUUUUUUUUAAAUGUCCCAGUUUUAUUUGUAAAGGGGAAUAGUUUUUUGUUUCAAACUUUAUUGGUCCCCUUCCAUUUUCAUCAGCCUAAAUAUCUGCCAGUAGCAAGGUACUCUCAGUACAGGGAACAGGUAGGGUGCCAUCAAGGACAUAUACUGAUGAUGUGCCCAAAGGAAUGUAUUCAGCUGGUACUGUUGUUUACCUCAUUAUUCCUGUCUGGCUUGGCUGCUCUAAACGAACUGCCACUAAGGACAAUAGCCCAAGAAUUUUUUACCAUCUUUCUGUUAGCACUUGUUUUAUACUGACAGAGAAAGAGAGCAUUUGACAUCCUUCAUUACAAAACUAAUGAUUUCCUUGUUCCAGCGUUAAACAGAAUCAAGAGUGUGCAGUGGAUCACCGCUGUUUAGGAGCUUAUCGGAAGACCCACAGCUGGCAGAACAAGCUCUCUCGCUGGCCGAGAUAUCAAAUUGGAAAAUGGAUGGAGAGUAUUUUAGCAUAAUGACUGAUAUUAGUCAUUACACAGUAAUCAUAUGGUAGUCUAAAAAUCUUGUCAUAAUGAUCAUUGUCUUUAAAAUGGGUUUAUGUUGGACUCUAUGGCAGUUGACACAGAAUUGACAUGA